rnacentral:rRNA from 1 species
AGCAGCCGCGGUAAUUCCAGCUCCAAUAGCGUAUAUUAAAGUUGUUGCAGUUAAAAAGCUCGUAGUUGAAUUUCGGGAUCAAUAUAUCGGUCGUGCCUUGGUACGUACUGGUAUCAUUGGUUUCUCCUUUCUGACGAACCAUGAUGUCAUUAAUUUGGUGUUAUGGGAAGUUAGGACUGUUACUUUGAAAAAAUUAGAGUGUUUAAAGCAGGCUUUGGCUUGAAUACAUUAGCAUGGAAUAAUGAAAUAGGACGUUCGAACCUAUUUUGUUGGUUUCUAGGAUCAACGUAAUGAUUAAUAGGGAUAGUUGGGGGCACUAGUAUUCAAUUGUCAGAGGUGAAAUUCUUGGAUUUAUUGAAGACUAACUACUGCGAAAGCAUUUGCCAAGGAUGUUUUCAUUAAUCUAAGAACGAAAGUUAGGGGAUCGAAGACGAUCAGAUACCGUCGUAGUCUUAACCAUAAACUAUAGCCGACUAGGGAUCGGAUGAUGUAAUUUUUAAUGACUCAUUCGGCGCCUUAC